UUUUUUUUCAUGAUAUUUACUUUAUUUUUUGGUUCAGUGAUCAGUGGUUCAGAUGCUACAGUGAUCCGUCACAACAAAUAAUCAGCCCAUUAUAAAACAAAGCAAUCUUAAGGAGCAAGCAAAGGGUUAAAAUGUGUGAACUAAUUAUUGCUGUAUCUAAAGUUGUUUCGAAUUCCGAAUCAAACUAAAUUGAAAUAUCCAUGAAAUCUUAAUAAGAGUUAUUAACUUUUACGAAUUAUUUUCAAUCAACCAAUUAUUUAGGGCUACUUCUUACUAUGGCAACAGUAAAAGUCAGGGUUAUGUUUUUAAUAUUUUGUUUAUAAAUCAUUAAUGAAAAGAUUAGAAAAAGUAAAUUAUUUUAUAUUCAGUUCUUUGGGCGAGUCCAGGUUAACAAUGUGGAUCACUAGCUAGACCUAAUCAAUUGAAUCAAAGACCAAUUACAUGCUCCAGAAAUUUGACUUUUUUGAAAUGAUUUUAAUCUGUAAGUCGAUAGAUGCUUGUAAAUUUUCUUUUACCGCAAUCACCAGUACUCUUUCUGAUGCUGUAGAGUUUUUAUUUGGAAACGACUUCUUCAAUCGGAUUUAGCUCAUUUUUAGGUGUUCAUAACAUUUAUGGCUUUUUAUAGUGGAGCUUACUGUCAGAUGUCUAUGUCAUUCUGUUUUGUUUUUUAAUUUUUUUAAUGAGUUUGAUUUCAGCAAACUUUUGUUCAAAGUUUAAAAACAAACUUUUUUUUAAAAUUAGAUUUCGUGAGAGGCUGAAUGUGGAACGAAUUUUUCCAAUAAUUUUUUUAGUUUUGUUUUACUUCAAGCAAUACACGGGCAUGUUUGAUCUACAUUUUUUAUUUUCUAACCAACACCUUGCUCAAUUGGUACAUCAGUAUACUACUUAUGGAGUAUAGGUUGUAGUAGUGAGCACAGUAAACACAGCAGUACACGAUGGUCCCAUAUCAUGCAUUAUUGAACACAAAGCCAGUAACACAUAGUGGCCCUGCAACAUGUAUCAGUUUUCAAGACAAAUGCAGCAGUACACAUAGGCCCUUUACCAUGUAUUUCUUAUGAGUUAUCAAUAUAAUGCAGUAAUACAUUCAGGCUCUGUAACAUGUAUAAUAUAGAUCUAUCAGUUAUACUACAAUGUAAUUAAAAUCUACAUUAAAAAUAGUUUUAUUAGAACUUUAAAAAAAAAUCAUUGAUCUAUUUUAUAGUAAAACAUUUUAAUACUACAUUAGAUAGACGAUAUAAAAGGACAUAUAAUAAUUUUUAAUCUUCUCUCGAAAGAGGAUUUCACUACAUAAGGUGUGCUAAAUAUGUAGGUUGAAGCUUGGUCUACGGAUUCACGUGACAC